GAUAAAGUUUAAAAGGCCGCGGUAUUCUGACCGUGCAAAGGUAGCAUAAUCGUUAGGUUUUUAAUUGAGAUCUUGUAUGAAUGGUUUUACAAAGGAGCACCUGUCUUUGUAUUUAAUUUUUGAAUUUAACUUUCAAGUGAAAAGGCUUGAAUGCGUUAAUAAGACGAUAAGACCCUAUAAAACUUUAUACACUAUUUUUAUUUACCUGAAUUAUUAAAUAUAAUAGUUUGGUAUUAAAGUGUAUUGUGUUGGGACGACAUAAAUACAAAGAAUUGUAACUGUUUGAGUUUAUAAACAUUUAUAAAUGAUUAAAUUUUUAAUUGACCCUCAUUGGAGAGUAAAAGAUUAAGUUACUUUAGGGAUAACAGCGUUAUUUUUUUUGAGAGUUCUUAUCGAGAAAAAAGAUUGCGACCUCGAUGUUGAAUUAAAAUAUCUGGGCAAUUGUAGGAGUUGCUACAGAGGGUCUGUUCGACCUUUAAAUUUUUA
rnacentral:rRNA from 1 species